UACAGACUGCACCAAGCUUUAA
rnacentral:miRNA from 1 species